rnacentral:rRNA from 1 species
AUUUUGCAGGAUUAUGAGGAGGCCUCGGGACAAAGAGUUAACUUGGAGAAAUCUCCCAUAUUUUUUGGGAAGGGCUCUGAAGAUGGGGAUAAAGCAGUGCUCAAACAAGCGAUCGGUAUUUCUUCAGAGGCUCUAAGUGAGAGGUAUCUGGGUCUUCCAACAGUGGUGGGAAAAUCAAAAGAUGGGACUUUUAAGUACGUCAAGGAGAGUGCAAAGGGGAAAGUUUCAGGUUGGAAGGGCCAAGGACUAUCUAAGAUGGCUAGGGAGGUGCUUAUUAAAUCGGGGCUGCAAUCUACUCCUACUUUCACUAUGAGCUGUUUUCAACUCACAAAGAAAAUGUGCGGGAACCUGUCUUCUAUAUCUUCAAACUUCUGGUGGGGAGAAGCAAAUGGUGAAAAAAGAGUACAUUGGAUUGCCUGGGACAAAAUGUGCACCGGAAAACGUGAAGGAGGAUUGGGGUUUAGGGACCCAGAAGCGUUUAAUCAAGCUUUGUUGGCUAAACAAGCUUGA